UACGGAGGGUGCAAGCGUUAGUCGGAAUUACUGGGCGUAAAGGGUGCGUAGGCUGGGAAGUAAGUCAGAUGUGAAAAACCAAAGCUCAACUUUGGCAGUGCAUCUGAAACUGCAUCUCUAGAGGAGUAGCGGAGAAAACGGAAUUCCACGUGUAGCGGUGAAAUGCGUAGAUAUGUGGAAGAACACCUGUGGCGAAAGCGGUUUUCUAGCUUUCUCCUGACGCUGAGGCACGAAAGCAAGGGGAGCAAACAGG
rnacentral:rRNA from 1 species